rnacentral:lncRNA from 1 species
GCAGGGAGAGAGUGAGAAGAAUGUGGAGGCACAAUGAAGGGAGAUGAAUAGACACAUAAUACAAUCAUUUAUAUAUGAGCAUGUCAUGCCAUACUGAAACACACUAUUUUGCACAAUAACAUUUUUUGUUUUCUCAUGUUUGUAUUUUAUAAUUUUUAUUAAUUAUUUUAUUUAUUUACAUCCCAAGUGUUGCCUCCCUCUUGGUCUCCUCUCCCAAAGUACUUCCCCUUCCUCCCUUCCCCUUUGCCUCUGAGAGGGUUCCCCCCUUCCUCGGGCAUCAAGUCUCUACUCACUCCCAUCUGAGUAUCCUCUCCCUCUGAGGCCAGAGAAGGCAGUCUUCUGCUACAUAUGCCCCAGGGCCUCAGACCAGCCUGUGUAUGCUCUUUGGUUGGUGGCUCAGUCUCUGGGAGCUCCCUGGGGUCCAGGUUAGUUGACACUGUUGGUCUUUUCAUAGGGUUGCCAUCCCCUUCAGUUCCUUCAAUCCUUCCCCUAACUCUUCCAUAGGGGUCCCCAAGCUUAGGCCAAUGCUUGGCUGUGAGUAUCUGCAUCUGUCUCAGUCAGCUGCUGGUGGAGCCUCUCAGAGGACAGCCAUGCCAGGGUCCUCUCUGCAAGCACAACAUAGCAUCAGUAGUAAUGUCAGGGAUUGGUCCCAAGUUGGCCCUUUAAAAGUCUAACUCGACAGCUUGAUCAGAAUGGAGCAUGUAGUUCCCUUUGCUUCAAAACAGGAUCUCCCUCUGUAGAACAAGCUCUCCCGCGUGACAGAAGGCCUGACGCUGGUCAUAGGCAAGGAUCACUCCCUUUUCUGAGACUGGAGGAGAGCCCACUAUCACUAAAUGAUGAUGAGUUCAAGAGGAAGUAUCUGCAGGUGUGUGGCUCCUCUUCCUCCCGUCUGAAGGGCCAUGAGUGAUGUCAGUAGAUCAGGUCAUAUGUCACACUGGCUAUGUUCGUUUCAGUCCCAUACAGGGUGGCUUUUGGAUGCCAUGGAUGUACAUGGCUCUAGAAACAUUUAGUCAUGCUUGCGGAGAUUUUUUCUUUUUACAAUCUUAGGGGUAGCAUCUGAGAAAACUUGCUUUAACCUGUUUGUAGUUUUGAGGGUGUUUGCAUGGUAUUAUUAUUCUUAAACAUUCAUGUUUGAAGGAUGGAUAACUCUGAAGAGUUUCAAGUAUCAUACGACAAGUUCUCUCUAAGACAGCGCUUGGAAGAUAGAAUGAUGUUUGCUUCUUCUCAGUUAGGAAACUUACUGUUUAAAAAUUGAAUAGUCCACAUUACUUGGCAUCUCAUUUGAAUCAGUUGACUCAAGGUAAAAUGAGCAUAGGUACCCAAGAUAUUACACAGGGGGGGAAUCAGUGAGAUUAAUCAAGUGAGUUACACAUCUAGUCUCAUUUAAGAUUGUCACCAAUAAAUGACAGAGAUGUUUACUACUUAUAGAAACCCAAACAUUAGAUGCUACAAACUAUUAAAUGUUUCUAUAGUUUAGAAAUAAGAGAGAAAAUGAGGUGUUCAUUGUUUCCAGCCCCAUACAUUGUUUAAAAUAAUUGUGUUUAAGGGCAGCUACUCAUUCACUUGUUUCUGUUUAAAUGAAGAACAUUCUAGCAACUUUUGACAUUUAAAAAUUAACUGUUUACAUGGAGAUAAUCUGCUAGAAUGUUUUCUCCCAUGAAUUUAAAGAGAUUGAUAAACACUUGGGUAAAUUGUGUUGCAUGUUCAUAUUACUGCCUUUCAAUUAUAUUUUCCUAUAACUAUAUACAGUAAAAAUGAAGCCAUCUGUCCAUGGCAGGCAAUGGUUAUCAUUCUUGUUUAUUUUAUUCUUAAGCUUAAAGCAUUUCUUCAGCUGAAAGAUAAUUUUAGAAAUUAAGACAAAGGUAAAAAAGAUACUGGAUUCAUAGUAAUGAAGAAAGUUAUGAACUGAGUAACCAGUUGAAAAUGUAUAUCCAGGACAUUCAAAGAAAGCAAGUGUGUGCAGUUUACUUGACUAAGCUAUUGAAUUUCCAACACGAAACAAGGCAUUAAAUAUGUGCAACAGAACACAUUAUGUAUGGGCAUAUUUUACCAUUUUGAUCAUAGAAUGUUUCAAAGGUUAAACAGAGUGAGAAUUAUUCCAGUUAGUGUUUGGAUUUCAUGCUCAUGUUUUGCAGUUUUUCCCUUGGCUUUUUACAGUCUCUCAAAUCUUUGAGUUGGCAAUUUGCAGUUGGUUGAUAUAUCUCUAUAUCUCUAUAUCUAUGUAUCUAUAUAUAUCCAAACAUUGGAUGUUAUAUAUAUAUAUAUAUAUAUAUAUAUAUAUAUAUAUAUAUACACACAUAUAUUCAGUUUUAAGAGAAUAGAUUGGGUAUUUUAGUCAACAAAUGCAUGUCUUGGGUAACCAUAUCUAGGAUUUCCAUAUUAGUUACUUUUCUCUUUUUCAUGAUAACAUUCCUGCCUACAACCAUUUAAGGGAGGAAGGACUUACUUAGGCUCACAGUUUGAAGAAUACAGUCUGCCCACCACAGUGGAGAAGACAUGGUCAGCAGGUGGCUUCAUGGUAGCAGGAGAAUGCAGCUACAAUGUUCUACCUCCUCACUUGUUGGCAGAACAGGAAACAAAGACAAGAAAGGAAGUGGGACUCGGCUAUACAUCUCAAGGCUUCAGUGAUUAACCUCCUCCCUUGAAGCUCCAGUACCUGAAGUUUCCACAGCAUCUGAGAACCAAGCACCUGCAUCAAGAUCAUGAGCCCAUGAGACAGAUUUCUUAUUCAAAUCGUAAUAAGUCCCAACUGGGACGUGGGGACAGAGCUUGUGUCAAUGGGAUCCAUAUAUGAAUAAGCAUAAGGACCCUUUAGGCCCUGGGGAGAGCAUCAACUUCCUUUUCUUGU